rnacentral:rRNA from 1 species
CCAAUAGCGUAUAUUAAAGUUGUUGCAGUUAAAAAGCUCGUAGUUGAAUUUCGGGAUCUGUCCAUUGGUCGGGCUUCACGGUCCGUACUGGUGUGAUGGGUUCCUACCUUCUGAAUAACCAGCAUGCCAUUCAUUUGGUGCGCUGGGGAAGCAGAGCUAUUACCUUGCAAAAAUUAGAGUGCUUAAAGCAGGCUAGUGCUUGAAUAGAUUAGCAUGGAAUAAUAAAAUAGGACGGCAUGGUUCUAUUUUGUUGGUUUCUAGGAUCACCGUAAUGAUUAAUAGGGAUAGUUGGGGGCAUUAGUAUUCAAUUGUCAGAGGUGAAAUUCUUGGAUUUAUUGAAGACUAACUUCUGCGAAAGCAUUUGCCAAGGAUGUUUUCAUUAAUCAAGAACGAAAGUUAGGGGAUCGAAGACGAUCAGAUACCGUCGUAGUCUUAACCAUAAACUAUGCCGACUAGGGAUCGGACGAUGUUAAUUUUUUAAUGACUCGUUCGGCGCCUUACG